GCCCGGCUCUGCAAGUUGGGGCCCGCGACUGCCUCCCGCCCGGGAAGCACGUGAACUUGGAGAAAGUCGCGGGGCGCGCCGGCCCGGACCUCCGCGGCAGGGCGUGGGCGCCCCCAGCCCGAGCGCUUUCGUUUUCGUCCCGGACAAAGGUCCCUCGAGGCGCUAGUCGCGGACGCGGAGACCGGGUUCUGCCGGCCGCUCCUCGGAGAGGUCCGGUGGUUCCAUAUGGCCAAGUCGGAGUCAGGAGAGGAGGAGUGGCGCGGCGCGGGACCGGGGGAGUGGGGCCUGGCCGUGCGCGUCGCCCGGCCGUCUCCGUCCCGGAGCCGUCCCGCCCUGCGAAGAGUUGCGGGAGAUGGCACCGCGCUGCACUCUGCGGUUUACACGCGUGGAGGAGAGAAGCGUUUGGGACCCGGACUCAGACCCAUGGCCCAGGGUCUGUGCCGUGUGGGCACGAGAGCGCGGCGCUGGCUGCGUCCGGGCGCGUUCCUCCGCCAAGGGCAGGGCAGUCGACCUGCGUGUCCCGGGUCACGAUCGGGUUCCGGGCGACUCCUGAGGGUGAACAUGACUCAUCCUGGCGCAUCCCCAAGGAGGCAGGACCCAUCGUGGCCUUCAGGAGACCCUCCAGGACCGCAUAGCCCAGGACUCUCGCCUUCUUCCUGCCUCCUCGUCCUGCAGGCGACCCCUAAAAGUCACGUGAUUCUGCCUUCCUCAGGCCAAGAAGCGGUGCUGAUCUGGGGCCUUCUGUCCGUGGUCGGCCUUCCUCACCGUGAAGAGUCUGGAUGCAGGAGGAGAGCUCAGCCCUGUCCCGCUCUGCACCGUGAGGAUUCUUCUGUCCCUGGGGCUCACCGUCCAGUGCACCUGCUACCCUUGGGCUCACCUUGCCUUGAGGGCCCUUUGGGGCCAGCAAUCCUGGAGGUAGCCCCUUCUCUCUGCCCAGCCGUGAACCAGCCCUCGCGUGCGGUCCUAACGCACCCAGGCCACCUGUCAUUGACCUGCGAUGCCGCACGGUGA
rnacentral:lncRNA from 1 species